UCACCAAGGCGSUUACGGGUSGCCGGCUUUAGAGKGCUACCGGCCAYACUGGKAUUGAKACACGGYCCAUAUUCUACGGGAGGCAGCAGUGGGKUUUAUUGUACAAUGGGCKAAAGCUUGAUGCAGCGACGCCGCKUGAGGGAUGACGGCUUCGGGUUGUAAACUUCUUUCAGCAGGGAAGAAGCGAAAGUGACGGUACCUGCAGAAGAAGCGCCGGCUAACUACGUGCCAGCAGCCGCGGUAAUACGUAGGGCGCAAGCGUUGUCCGGAAUUAUUGGGCGUAAAGAGCUUGUAGGUGGCUUGUCGCGUCUGCCGUGAAAACCCGAGGCUCAACCUCGGGCGUGCGGUGGGUACGGGCAGGCUAGAGUGUGGUAGGGGAGACUGGAACUCCUGGUGUAGCGGUGAAAUGCGCAGAUAUCAGGAAGAACACCGAUGGCGAAGGCAGGUCUCUGGGCCAUUACUGACACUGAGAAGCGAAAGCAUGGGGAGCGAACAGGAUUAGAUACCCUGGUAGUCCAUGCCGUAAACGUUGGGCACUAGAUGUGGGGAACAUUCCACGUUUUCCGCGUCGUAWUAACGCAUUAAGUGCCC
rnacentral:rRNA from 1 species